CUAGAAACAUUGACUUCUUGUUCCCGGCCUAUCCGGUAAUAUAUCUGCGGAUACUCUCGCAUGGAUCCGAGUCUUCUCUCCCAAAACUCCCAAACAGGGGAUCGAGAAAAGUGGAAUGUUGCGACGUGUAAUAUGAAGGUGCAGAAGUUGCAAACAUAAGAUAAGACUUAGAGAUUGCAGGAGAGACGAAUUCAUCGCCUAAUGAAAUUUGGAGAGCAGCAAUGUUUAGUUAAUGUUGUAAUUUUCAUUCUUCUAUAUAAUUAAGUUACAAGUUGUACGUUACCUUCUGAAAAAGUUAUAAUUACUAAGGAUCUUGAUGAUUAUUCAAGAAAUAAAAAAA